UGGGGAAUAUUGCACAAUGGGCGCAAGCCUGAUGCAGCCAUGCCGCGUGUGUGAAGAAGGCCUUCGGGUUGUAAAGCACUUUCAGCGAGGAGGAAGGUGGUGAGCUUAAUACGCUCAUCAAUUGACGUUACUCGCAGAAGAAGCACCGGCUAACUCCGCGCCAGCAGCCGCGGUAAUACGGAGGGUGCAAGCGUUAAUCGGAAUUACUGGGCGUAAAGCGCACGCAGGCGGUUUGUUAAGUCAGAUGUGAAAUCCCCGGGCUCAACCUGGGAACUGCAUUUGAAACUGGCAAGCUAGAGUCUCGUAGAGGGGGGUAGAAUUCCAGGUGUAGCGGUGAAAUGCGUAGAGAUCUGGAGGAAUACCGGUGGCGAAGGCGGCCCCCUGGACGAAGACUGACGCUCAGGUGCGAAAAGCGUGGGGAGCAAAACAGGAUUAGAUACCCUGGUAGUCCACGCUGUAAAACGAUGUCGAUUUUGGAGGUUGUGCCCUUGAGGCGUGGCUUCCGGAGCUAACGCGUUAAAUCGACCGCCUGGGGAGUACGGCCGCAAGGUU
rnacentral:rRNA from 1 species